UUCCCAUGCGCUUGAGCACGCGGCUUUUUUUUUAUUAUUUGUGAUUUCGCGCUUAAUAAAAUAAUAAUAAUACGAAUUAGCAAUGGGUGAUUAGUGUUUAAAUGUGUUUUUUAUUGUUUUCAAAGCAUACAUAGGUUUUUGGUCGCGUCGCUUAAAUCUCGUGUGUGUGUGUGUGUAAGUGAAAUGCGCAGCAGCCCAGCAAAGGGUUUUUUGUUGUUUAUUUUGAUUAAAACAAUAAAAAGCGGUUAAAUAUGAAUAUUUAGUGGUUUUGUUGAAAUAAAGUGUGCUUUAUUUAAUGUAAAAUGAUCAACACACGUGAAAUUGUGAUGGCGCAAGGGGCCUGUAUGUAAUAACUGUGUAUAUAUGUACAUAUGUACAUAUAUACAUAUGUACGCCCUUUACGUAUUAAGUGUGUAUUUGCGUAUAAAAUCAAUCUUCCAACCACUUGAAGGUUGAUUUUCAUCAUCUUUUGGCACAGAUGGUUAAUAUUACAUUUGUCACAAUAUAUGGAGAGCCAACCAUAGAAACUCAUUCAUAGUCUGUGCAUCAUCGACGACGACGACUGCCCCGGCAUCAGGGGGCAUCAAAGUGGAAUUGGAUUCAUCUGGAAGAGGCGGGUCAUAAUUGAAGAUAUGAUGCUCCAUGCCCCAUGCCCCAUACCCCAGCCAUGAGCAAAGGUGACACCAAAGGGAAGACCUUCGACUGGCAAUAAAAUAAAUGCCAUUUACUGAUGAGUCAUCAGCAUAAUUUUUACGAUUUGUCCCAUUCGAUGAAUAAACAAAUAAACCAAUGGACACGGGAGCUGGGACCCGGGACUCAGGACCCUCUGGAUUGGACUCUAGUUUGAGCGUGUCACGAAAACAUUUCGCAUGCAUUGACUUUUUAUGGCAGCCCCAAACCGAGUGAACCGAACGCACGAAUCGAAAAGCCACAUGGACCGACGAGAGAGAGAGGCGGAGAGGGGCACACAGAGAGGGGUAUCCACAAAUAAUGCAAAAUCAUUUAGUGGAACUCCUAGGCACACACACCGUACAGAUGCUCGCACCCCCCUCCCGCCUCAAAGUCAUAAAAUCCGGCACCGAAUGAAAUUCUCAUCAAGACGCAAGUUGGCACAAUUUCAGUUUGGCGCUGAAGCAACUUGAAAACACGACCAAAAUGAGCCCGAAUCGCAGUAGGAGUCGUUGCCACAGCCCACAGGACUCUCGGCAGUGGUCAGGCAUGGGGCCAGCAUCGUGCUGCUGCCGCUGCCGCUGCUACUCCUGCUCCUGGCAAUCGCGCGUGACUAACGUAAUCAGCUCACGUAACGCCUGAAUGAGAUGAGAUGAAAUCAGCAUACACUCCGGGCCACGCAGGACUAUGCUCUCCUACGCUGCCGUCGCUCCGCACCGAUUCCGACUGCAUAAAUGUCGAAUUUAUACGAAAAUGAAGCGGCGCAGGCCAUUCGACCAGCUGCUGGGGCAUCAUUCACACGGCCACCAGAUGCUUUGAGGGGUAAGUACCACCCCCCUAACGAAAUGUUUUGUAGAUCUUUGACACGCGAUACUGCCCUGGCCGGGCCGUCUUUGGUGGGUGUUCGGAUGCAAAACGAUCGCUGGAGCUGGGGAUCUUGGGAGCUUAAAGGAGGGACAAUGGAGAGAUCUAUAAAUGGGAUUCUUGGACAUUAACGAAAGAGGAGAUUUGUAAAUGGGAACCUUUUGGAAGCCUAUAAGUUAUAUCUAAUCGUAUCUACUGGCAGGAAUCAAGUACUUAUAUGAUUACUGCCUUCGAACAAGCGAGCAGAGCGGAUUCCAUUUAAAUGCAAAGACCUAUCAUUAGACUCUUACAUCUACAAUUCCCCAACGCCCGCGCGCGAGAGAGAGAGAGAUCAACAAUUGUGGUGGCUUCAGCGGCGAUUUAAGCGCUGGGCACACGCAAUCCCCCUGCCCCGUCUAUGGAGAGCCUGCCCUAUAAAGUAGAUUUGCAUGCGACGCCCCAGAGACCCCUCUUGGCUGUGGGGCGGGGGGCUGGCAUCCCCAAUUGAAUGGGGGACUGGCGCGAAUCCGUUGAUGUGAUGACAGGAGUGGCUGCAAAUGGGGAAAAACGCACAGAACACAAGAUAUCUCUGGCAUGUCGUCCUAGCAGGCUGUUUACUGAAGCCUCCGCUGAAGUACUGCUGAAUAGGGGCUGUAGAAGCGACUCAGGAAGGCCGUCGAAUCUAAGACCUGGAAAUUAUGAUUGUUACCCAGCCAGCAGCUCAGGGCAAAGCUGUUGUCCGGAUGUUUAAUGCGUGGCAUUUCGAUUCCUACCCACGUCCACCACGCGGCACAGGUUCCUAUUGAGGUUGUGGAGAUUCUUCUGUCCAUCCACCAUCCACCGAUAGCUGGUGUAGGCAAAGGGAUCGUGGCUUCCAGCAGAAGAAAGGCAGUGAUGUCCUGCUCCAAGCUCUGCAAGCUAAUAGGUCCAUGCACUUCAGAAUAGCGUUGAUCGCCAGGACCACGGUAUACGGUGGCUGAAUGUAGAACGGCCUCACGGACAUAGGUUCCUCCAGCAUUUUCCGAGAAUACUGCAGGACUAACGGCUCCGAAAAUGGCAAUUUCCAUUCGAGAGAGAUCGUAGCGGGGGUCCAAGAAGGAACAGAGUAUCUGUUUUUGGAUGAUUAUCGAGUCUUUAAGAUUCAUAUACAAUGGUGCA
rnacentral:sRNA from 1 species